CCCGAAAGAUGGUGAACUAUGCCUGAGC
rnacentral:ncRNA from 3 species